AACUUAUUCAACUUGUUGUCCCUUCAAACAUCAACUAGACCCAGUCCUCUGCUUGAUUGGGAAAUGGCUAAUUAUCCGGAGUGGAAAAUUCUUGUCAUCCCUUGACCUUCCCUUGACCAUAAAUCAAUAAGAACUUGAAAUCGUAAGUCAUGCCAAAGUAUUGGGGAUAACCCCAAAUAUUAAUAGUUAUUUAACUUGAAACUAAGGUCGGUUACCCCCAUUUUUUACUUCGUAAAAAGAAUUUGUUUAGUAUUUUUUUAUAAUUUUUAAAAAAUUCUGUCAUGC